rnacentral:lncRNA from 1 species
UAAGUAAAAAUAAAGGUAUAAUUUCUCCCAUCUAAGUUCACAGAUUCCUGAAAUAUAUUCAUAAAUAUUCUUGGUCCGUGACUCUCACUCACCUAACCUGCAUAAGGACUACAAGGAUCUUAUUAUUAGGCUCUUUCUGGGCCAUUCAAAAGAACAGAAGUAGUCUGAGUGAGGCCAAACUAUAAGACAGAUUUCAGAUCACCACAAUGAAGAACAUUCAAACAAUGCAAAAUCCUCAAAAAUAAUAAUCCAGGGCUAUCUCUCUGGUGGUACAGGUCCACGCCUUCUGAGCGCCUCGUCGCCAUGCCUUGAAAAAUUGAGGAAAUCAAGGAUUUUCUGCUCACAGCCAGGCAGAAGGAUGCCAAAUCCGUCAAGAUCAAGAAGAACAAAGAUAAUGUGAAGUUUAAAGUCUGAUGCAGCAGAUAUCUUUACACCUUGGUCAUCACAGACAAAGAAAAGGCAGAGAAACUGAAGCAGUCCCUGCCCCCAGGCUUGGCAGUAAAGGAGCUGAAAUGAACUAGCCAGACUGAUGUGAAGUGUAUUAAAAAGCUUUGAAAAUCUAAGGCCCUCCGCAAAACUGCUCAUCGUUAUUUCAAAGCACCUUACAGUUCCACUUGUAGGUUCUGCCCUUGCUGCCCUACUGCCAUCUCUUGCUAUCCCGUCAUCUCCAGCCGAAGGGCCUGGUAAGGGAGACUCCUCAAAGGAAGGGUGAAGUUCAAAAGUUAGUAACAUACUAAAAGGCUUUUCUGUAUGUGUCCCUGCCAAUUUGGUUCAGAAACAACAUGUUCUGCCUCUGCUACCUUUUCUUAAAAUCACAAACGUUAUUAUUUUUAAUACUGGGAUUUUUCGUUCCUGGCUGUUCACUUACAAGGUAUUCCAAGGAAGAAACAAAAGCCACCCAGUUUCAGAGGCUUUUUAAACAUUGUUGCUAAGCAGUUUCCUCUGUCCCACACUGUACUCCAAAGCACUGAUUUUUCAAGCUGAGAUUCAUGACUUGCUAUGUUCAAAGAAGUAAACAAAAUAUUUAUUUCUUUAGUAUCUCUUGAGAAGUUACCUGAGUCACUCACAUCUCUCUUGGUAUUUAAAAAGUUAUAUUUUUGAACAAUCAUAUGCCAACUUUCACAAAUCAAUAUAGGUCAAUAAACAUAAUGAAUAAGAUUUGUCUAAGAUAAUGACAGCCAAGACUGAACACAUUACCCACAAAGCAGUGCGUUAAACAUUCAUAUGCAAUGAAGCUUACAAAAACUCUAUGAGGUAAGAGCAAUAUAAGGUGCCCAUUUUCUAUAGAUGAACAAAAUAAGCACAUAGGGAUUAAGCAAGUUACUAAAGCAAUUCAUUCAAUCCUUGGUGAAUGGUAGAACUGGAAUUCAAAUCUAUGUCAAAAUCCAGAGCUCAAAUUCUUAACUUUCUAUUUUCAAUUGUUGUGUCCAG